UACGUAGGGGGCAAGCGUUGUCCGGAAUCAUUGGGCGUAAAGCGCGUGUAGGCGGCCCGGUAAGUCCGCUGUGAAAGUCGGGGGCUCAACCCUCGAAUGCCGGUGGAUACUGUCGGGCUAGAGUGCGGAAGAGGCGAGUGGAAUUCCUGGUGUAGCGGUGAAAUGCGCAGAUAUCAGGAGGAGCACCAAUUGCGAAGGCAGCUCGCUGGGACGUGACUGACGCUGAGACGCGAAAGCGUGGGGAGCAAACAGG
rnacentral:rRNA from 1 species